CAGUCGCCACGGGAAUACGAAGGGUGCAAGCGUUAAUCGGAUUUACUGGGCGUAAAGGGCGUGUAGGCGGCCUGGGGCGUCCCAUGUGAAAGGCCACGGCUCAACCGUGGAGGAGCGUGGGAUACGCUCAGGCUAGAGGGUGGGAGAGGGUGGUGGAAUUCCCGGAGUAGCGGUGAAAUGCGCAGAUACCGGGAGGAACACCGAUGGCGAAGGCAGCCACCUGGUCCACUUCUGACGCUGAGGCGCGAAAGCGUGGGGAGCAAACGGGAUUAGAUACCCGCGUAGUCCCUGUCUCUUAUAC
rnacentral:rRNA from 1 species